rnacentral:rRNA from 1 species
UACGUAGGGUGCAAGCGUUGUCCGGAAUUAUUGGGCGUAAAGAGCUCGUAGGCGGCUUGUCACGUCGACUGUGAAAACCCGGGGCUCAACUCCGGGCCUGCAGUCGAUACGGGCUGGCUUGAGUGCGGUAGGGGAGACUGGAAUUCCUGGUGUAGCGGUGAAAUGCGUAGAUAUCCGGAGAAACACCGGUGGCGAAGGCGGCUUCCUGGACCGAUACUGACGCUGAGGCGCGAAAGCUAGGGGAGCAAACGGG